GACGAACGCUGGCGGCGUGCCUAAUACAUGCAAGUCGAACGAGAGCGACCGGUGCUUGCACUGGUCAAUCUAGUGGCGAACGGGUGAGUAACACGUGGGUAACCUGCCCAUCAGAGGGGGAUAACAUCCGGAAACGGAUGCUAAAACCGCAUAGGUCUUCGAACCGCAUGGUUUGAAGAGGAAAAGAGGCACAAGCUUCUGCUGAUGGAUGGACCCGCGGUGCAUUAGCUAGUUGGUGAGGUAACGGCUCACCAAGGCCGUGAUGCAUAGCCGACCUGAGAGGGUGAUCGGCCACAUUGGGACUGAGACACGGCCCAAACUCCUACGGGAGGCAGCAGUAGGGAAUCUUCCGCAAUGGACGCAAGUCUGACGGAGCAACGCCGCGUGAGUGAAGAAGGUUUUCGGAUCGUAAAACUCUGUUGUUAGAGAAGAACAAGUGCUAGAGUAACUGUUAGCGCCUUGACGGUAUCUAACCAGAAAGCCACGGCUAACUACGUG
rnacentral:rRNA from 1 species